AUUCCUUGUUUGCCUGUCUGUAUACAUUAUAAUAACACUAGCCCAUGGAUCAGCUUUGACCACUCCCAAUCUUUUAUUUUCCAGAUUUGCCAUGUUUUCAAACAACAAAAUUGGUUUAGUCCUAAUCUUCAUCAUCAAGCAGUCAACAUGCCAGGCACCGGUUUGGUAACUAUUCUUUAGUGCACAGCCCCAGAGUGUGAGGGGUUUGUAUGGUUGUUUGGUUAGUUGUGGGUUUUUUUAAUGAUUUGGUUGUGGCUCACAGGUUUUGGGGUUUUUUGUGUCCCAUGGUCCAUAAGUAAGAUACUUCCUUUUAAAAUGUAGUCAAUAAUAAUUGCUGAAUUUUGUAAAUUAAUUCAUAUGUAUAGGAAACCAGUAUUUCAUGAGAAUUUCUGUGUGUCUCUUGAUAAUCUGAGUAAGCUGAGAAGAUUUGCCUUGGAGUAAGGUGUGUGUUUCAGUGGUCUCAGACAGAAAGAGCUUUACUUCUGUUGGAUGACAAACUUUAAUGGAAACAAUAGCCUGCAAAGAGAGCGUUUUCUAAGUUCGUGGAAAUCAUUCAGACCAUGCUUAUGUUUUGUUAGUAAACACUGUUCUUUAAUUCAGAAAGCAGUUUGUACUGGCCUGGGGAAGCCUGUCUCAUUUGAUAAUGGGCUCUGAAUCCAGUGGAUUAUUGCAGGGAUUUUAUCUUGCAGUAAUCUCCGGGGGAAACGUACAAACAGCUGGGAGAGCAAGAAGGAGCUGCAUUGUGCGGCGGGAGUUUGUCGAGCGGAGUUUUAGGGCGCUGGAGUGGAUCUCAAUACCAACAUGAACCUUUUCUGUUUUUCUCUGGAGGGCUCAAUGGACAGCUUGUAUGAGCCUGUCCCAGAACAUCAGGAACCCAAGGAUACAACUACUACUGACAGCCAGGCUAGCACUCCAGCGAGCCCACCUCUGAACUGUGGACCACCUGAUAGGUCUAAGUCUUUGCUACACAAUCCUUCCCACAUCUUGUCAGGGUAUAUAUAUUGGCUGGAUCCUGGGCUCUGUGUGAUCUUUCC
ensembl:lncRNA